rnacentral:lncRNA from 1 species
AGACCCGCUGGGGGAUAAGAUUGCUUAAUCAAAGCAAAUAUCCAAGAGGGAAAAGGACUAUCAAUACCGAAAACUGGAUAAUGAUAUCCGCAAAGAGGGGAUUACAUCUACCGGUUCGUAGGUAGAAAACCACGGAAAAGUAACCGUCAUCGACUAAGAUGAGCACAAGGGUUGACUCCACAAAGGGGAGAAAAGAGGGUUCACAUCUACCGGUUUAUAGGUAGAAGACCACAAAGAUAGGACUUACAACUACCGGUUAGUAGGUAGAAG